rnacentral:lncRNA from 1 species
UUGUAUGAAACUGAUCAAGGUGUAUGUUUUGUAAUGUUUUUGAUUGUAUUAUGUUUUGUAAUGAUCAAGGUUCACAUGUGUUCUCCAUAUGAGAUUUUAACCUUGUUAUAACUUGCACCAAAUUUUAAAUGAUCAAGGUUCACAUGUGUUCUCCAUAUGAGAUUUGUACUCAAUGGUCACAUAUAUUUGUUUGUUUCUUCCACAAGAAAACAAGCUAGUAUCACAAGAUGGAUACUUCUAAAAAAAUAAGCAUCACGGGAGUUUCACACAUCAAAUAUCACAUACACAAAUCGUCCCUCUUCUACUCAUUUCCAA